AUUGAACGCUGGCGGCAUGCCUUACACAUGCAAGUCGAACGGUAACGGGCCUUCGGGUGCCGACGAGUGGCGAACGGGUGAGUAAUGUAUCGGAACGUACCUUUCAGUGGGGGAUAACGUAGCGAAAGUUACGCUAAUACCGCAUAUUCUGUGAGCAGGAAAGCAGGGGAUCGCAAGACCUUGCGCUGAUUGAGCGGCCGAUAUCAGAUUAGCUAGUUGGUGAGGUAAAGGCUCACCAAGGCGACGAUCUGUAGCGGGUCUGAGAGGAUGAUCCGCCACACUGGAACUGGGACACGGUCCAGACUCCUACGGGAGGCAGCAGUGGGGAAUGUUGGACAAUGGGGGCAACCCUGAUCCAGCCAUGCCGCGUGAGUGAAGAAGGCCUUCGGGUUGUAAAGCUCUUUCGGCCGGGAAGAAAUCGUAUGGGUUAAUACCCUGUGCGGAUGACGGUACCGGCAUAAGAAGCACCGGCUAACUACGUGCCAGCAGCCGCCGUAAUAC
rnacentral:rRNA from 1 species